GUUUUGAGCAUGGCAAUAGAUAUGGAUAUAUUUGAAGUCUUCUACAUGUCAGCAUCCAGGUACAUCAAAAGAAGAGAAGGCAGAAAAAUGGUCAUAGCCAGAAUACCACAGUCUUCUGUGAAAAAGUAUCAUGUAAUCAUAGCUGCAUAAGCAAGACCAGAACAAUGGCAGCAUCAAUGGACAUACAAAGUGAAAACAGAAAAAAAAAUGCUAGAUUCCAUCCCUAAUCAAAGAAUAACACGACAACUAAUGACUGCUGGGAGAAGGAAAAAUGGCAGCUCCAAUAGUGUGCAAUGUUUCAAUUUUCUUUGAAUUUGUGUCAACACAUUUUAUCAUUUCCUUUAUUCAACUUUUUAUAAAAGAAGUUUGCAGCGAUGUUUCAUAA